rnacentral:rRNA from 1 species
UACGGAGGGUGCGAGCGUUGUCCGGAAUCACUGGGCGUAAAGCGCGCGUAGGCGGCUUUGCAAGUCGGGUGUGAAAUCCCCAGGCUCAACCUGGGAACUGCAUUCGAGACUGCAUUGCUGGAGUACGGAAGAGGAGGGCGGAAUUCCCGGUGUAGCGGUGAAAUGCGUAGAUAUCGGGAGGAACAUCAGUGGCGAAGGCGGCCCUCUGGUCCAGUACUGACACUCAAGUGCGAAAGCGUGGGGAGCAAACAGG